rnacentral:rRNA from 1 species
UACGUAGGGUGCAAGCGUUGUCCGGAAUUAUUGGGCGUAAAGAGCUCGUAGGCGGUUCGUCGCGUCGGCUGUGAAAUCCCGAGGCUCAACCUCGGGUCUGCGGUCGAUACGGGCAUCACUGGAGUUCGGCAGGGGAGACUGGAAUUCCUGGUGUAGCGGUGAAAUGCGCAGAUAUCAGGAGGAACACCGGUGGCGAAGGCGGGUCUCUGGGCCGAUACUGACGCUGAGGAGCGAAAGCGUGGGGAGCAAACAGG